rnacentral:rRNA from 1 species
UACGUAGGGUGCAAGCGUUUAAUCGGAAUACUGGGCGUAAAGCGUGCGCAGGCGGUUUUGUAAGUCUGUCGUGAAAUCCCCGGGCUCAACCUGGGAAUGGCGAUGGAGACUGCAAGGCUAGAAUCUGGCAGAGGGGGGGUAGAAUUCCACGUGUAGCAGUGAAAUGCGUAGAGAUGUGGAGGAACACCGAUGGCGAAGGCAGCCCCCUGGGUCAAGAUUGACGCUCAUGCACGAAAGCGUGGGGAGCAAACAGGAUU